rnacentral:rRNA from 1 species
UGGGGAAUAUUGCGCAAUGGGCGAAAGCCUGACGCAGCGACGCCGCGUGGGGGAUGACGGCCUUCGGGUUGUAAACCUCUUUCAGCAGGGACGAAGCGCAAGUGACGGUACCUGCAGAAGAAGCACCGGCCAACUACGUGCCAGCAGCCGCGGUAAUACGUAGGGUGCAAGCGUUGUCCGGAAUUAUUGGGCGUAAAGAGCUCGUAGGCGGUCUGUCGCGUCGGCUGUGAAAUCCCGAGGCUCAACCUCGGGUCUGCAGUCGAUACGGGCAAACUGGAGUGUUGCAGGGGAGACUGGAAUUCCUGGUGUAGCGGUGAAAUGCGCAGAUAUCAGGAGGAACACCGGUGGCGAAGGCGGGUCUCUGGGCAACAACUGACGCUGAGGAGCGAAAGCGUGGGGAGCGAACAGG